UAUAAACGGCACAAUACAAUCAUUUUUACGUAAAUUGAGUGUAAAUACAGAAUAAACGAAUUAUAUCAAAGAUGGGACGAAUAAGCUGAAACAUUCCUCUGACACAGCUUAUAAUUUAUUGUCAUUUUUUCUUUGGUUGCUACUUUGACAGUUUUUUGUUAACAAAAAGUUAAUGUUUUAGAAUAAAAGUAUAUGUUCUUAGUGAAGGAAGAUAGAAGUAUCGAAAUAUAAUAUUCACACAUGAAAAUAUUCAUAUAUUUCGAUAUUAGAAAUCUAUAUUUUUUUGAUGUUUGAAAUAAUGUCAUGACAAAAAUAUUUUAGAUGUAGGAAAUACGGAUCAUAAACAUUUCUUUCUGUCAAGUAAAUUAGAAAUUAAAUAAUUUAAUUUAGGAAAAUUCAAUUGCGAUUGUCUCAGGUGAAAUGUAGAGUUUACAAGUAGGCCUAUGCUUUUUAUGUGAAAGUAUCUGCAUUUACAAAUUAACAGAAUUUCCAGUUUUUAUACACAUUAUUAUGUUACAAUCUACGAAACUGUGUUUAAUACAUAAUACAUACUACAAAAAGGGUAAUAAAGGAACGUCAGUCAUUGUAAAUAAUGUAUUAUUGAAAGUUUUAUUGAUACAAAUAAUUAGUUUUAUCAGGAAACAUUUCUCCAGAAGAAAAUUGUCGAUAUUUCACGUAAAUAUAAGUAAAUUUUAUUAUAAUUUAGAUAAAAACACAUUUUACUUUUUACCACACAUGGCUUCCCCCCAUCUUACUCUUAAAACAUUCCAUUUCAUAAAGCUCUGUAUUCCCAAUGCAAAUGAGCCCCUUCAGUCAUCUUAAUUCAGGGGCUUAUUUGCAUAAAGAUUUGUAUUCACAAUGCAAAUGAGCCCCUGAAUUAAGCUUAAUUAAGGGACUCAUUUGCAUAACGUGUCGAGGGCAGCGACAGUAUGUAAAGCCGUUGCUGAAAUGCUGCAUUAAUUCAUUCAUCAUGCUGAAGGCAAUCAGUAACGAUAUUCGUUUGUUGAUCAUAUGCUAUCAUGAAGAAGGAUGCAGUUACCAAAAAAUUGCUGAUAUGCUGAGUGUGUCGACAUGAGCUGUGUCGCGCAUCCUUAAGAUGUACCGAGACAAAGGUGCUGUGUCGCUGGAAAAGGCGAAGGGGCAACAGCGAGGGACGGCGGCGGAGGAUGAUGCCCAUUUAAAGGCCACUAGUGAGGCCUGGCCUUUUUCCACUGCGUCCAUGUUGAAGAAGGAAUUAAACCUUAGUAUAUCUGUAGAUACGAAGCUAUUAUAAAAGCCGCAAAAAUCGCUAUUCCCAAUGGACAAAACGUAAAACAACAACAAAGAUGGUGGAAUGAUGAACUUGAAGAGAUCAAGUCCAAAACAUACAGAGCAAGACGUAGUUAUCAACGUGAACACGACCCAGACAUAAGGGUAGAGUUUAGAUCUGAAUAUUAUCGAUGUAAAAGACAAUUCAGAAAAGCCAUAUUAGAGGCUAAACAAAAGAGCUGGAGGAACUUUGUGACAGAUACAGGCCAGACUAACCCAUGAGGUCUACCAUACAAAAUAAACACAGGGAAGAUCAGAAAAGCCCAAAUACUCGGACCAAUAAGACUAGGAUCUACCGAGGCAAUUAACUGCAGGCAAGCCGCUUCAAACAUCAUGGACUCCCUCUUCAAACAAGACAAUCUGGAAGAGGAUUCGCCUGAACAACAAGAUGUCAGAAGAAAAGUUGAGAGAUACAGAGGAGAAACGGUUAGUCCCCCAUUUGAGGAGUCUGAGCUUAGAUGCAUAGUGGCAAGAAUGAAAAGGGGCAAAGCCCCAGGAAUUGAUGGAAUUAAUCAAACUAUAUUAGAUGCGGCCUAUGAACACAUAGAAGGCGAGUUAAUCAAAGGCUACAACGCCUGCCUAAGAUAUGGGGUUUUCCCUGAAGACUUGAAGAAAGGACGUUUAAUAACUAUUUUCAAACCUGGUAACAGAAAGAAGUGACCCCAAGUCUUAUCGAUCUGUCUUCUCCCACUUCUGGGGAAGGCUUUAGAUAGAAGGACUCAUACGGAUCCGGUUAAAUAAGGAUAUGCAGGAUAACACUGAAAGUAACCAAUAUGGCUUCAGGAUGGGUUGCUCCACCACGGAUGCGAUACUUAAACUAAGAACCAUGAUUGAGAACUCAACAGGGAAAUAUGUUGUGGGAAUUUUCGUUGAUAUAGUCGGAGCCUUCGACCACUUGUGGUGGCCGAACAUCUUGGAAGAAUUGGCGCAACAUAAGUGUCCUAGGAACUUAUACUGGCUCAUCAGGGACUAUCUCCACAACAGGAGUGCUGCAAUUAUAGACGACAAUGUGUGCACUACAAAGCAACUCUACCGUGGGUGCCCUCAGGGCUCCAUCUUGGGGCCGGACAUGUGGAAUUUAGUUUUCGACUCAAACCUCAGAAUGCUAAAUGAAUUGAAGUUCAUGACAAUUGCCUACGCAGAUGAUGAGGCGGUUGUACUAGAAGGAAAUAGCAGGCGAGAAAUUGAAGCAAAAGGCGAGAUUUUAAUGACAAACCUGGAAAAGUGGGCCACUGCCCACAAGUUAAGAUUCUCAACUGAGAAAACUAUAAUGGUAAUGAUGAAAGGAAACUUAAGUGAAGAAAGACUGCCUACAAUUAAACUUUAUGGCCAGUCAAUCAAAAUGAAAAAGACAGUCAAAUAUCUCGGCCUAACCAUAGGCAAGAACUUCAACAUAAUAGAACAUGUAAAGGAUAUUCCAAGCAAGGCCGCCAACUAUUUUAAUUGCCUCAGACGCAUCGCAAAGGCUGAAUGGGGCUUCAACUAUCGAGCAAUGAUAACUAUUUACAUAGGGCUCUUCAUACCAAUUAUCACCUAUGCGGCGGCCGCUUGGGCAGACACGACUACUGCAAUAAGUAAAAGAAAGCUCGUCAGUGCCCAACGUACAGCCCUACUAAGGUAACUCAAGGGGUACAGAACAUGCUCUGCUGCGGCAUUACAGGUGAUUGCCAAUGCUCUGCCUAUCGAGCUUGAGGUUUUGAGGGCAUAUGCCAGAUAUAACAUAAGGAAAGGCAAAGGAUUCUCUAUUAAAGACCAAGAGUUCAGUGAAGCAACCACAGAUGAAGCAAGAAGAGACAGAAGACAAGAAGUAGAAGAAUAUCUAAAAGAAACAUGGCAAAGGGAUUGGAACAAUAUAGACAAAGGACGUCAAACAUAUCAAUAUAUCAACAAAGUAAAUGAACGACAAAGAAUGAAAUGGCUACGGAGUGACUUCUACACAACCCAGUUUCUGACAGGUCACAGAGACUUUAAGGAAAAAUUACAAAGCUUUGGAUUGGAAACACUUCUGAAUGUGAGUGCGGAGAAAUCGACAGUGCGGAACAUGUGCUCUUUCAAUGUGUAAUCUUCAAUGAAGAAAGAAGAGGCUCGGACUUCUUGAUGGAACUUUACAUGAAGAAUGAGGUGACAGAUGAAGAUAGACAGAAGAUGAUGGAAAAACGCAACUUCCAGCAGGUUAAAACAGUUAUGAGGAAUAUCUUGAGGAAAAGAAACAAGAUAAGAAGAGAACUAAACUAACACACGAACUAAAGUACACCCAUGACAUCCGGAAAGAUAAGAAGAACAAUAAUUGUAGAUAAGGAGGCAGAAAGAAAAGAGGAUGACCGCUGGUAUAUCUUGGGCAGGGUACAGCGGGGGAGGCUGGAGGGUGUUCUCCUGGGUAUAUCUGUAGAUACGGUAAAACAGAGGUAUGUAACAUUUGUAGUAUAAUAUUACAACCUUCCAAUGAAAUGUAUUUCUGGCAGUUCAUUAUAUCGAUAGAAAUAUAACUUUAUUAACAUGUUCUUGCAUAUACAGAAAUGUAGGAAGCAGGAUAAUAUAUAUGAUUUUUACUCUAUUCAUAGGUUGCCACAGUUUGAAGUAUACGGAAGGAGGGCAGCCAUAAAACAGUGGCUCACAGUCGGCAACCAAUUUGAUCGGCUGGGGUUCGCCCAAACUUAUUCCAGUUGGGGAGUGGCUGACCGGGCCAAGGUCAUCUUUACCGACGAGAAGGUAUUCUGCUCGUCGAGCUGCGGGACCAAGUGGGUGCGUCGCAAACCCUAACCCUGCACCCGGUUUGACUCGGAGCACGUGUGGUGCACCCAAAGAAGCGGUCGCUUUUCCUUAGGUAUUUGGGGAUGGAUGACAGCGGCAGGUCCCGGGGAGUUGGUGCGUAUAGACAGUCACCUCACCGCCGUGCAAUACAUCGAGAUACUCGAAGAGGUAUUGUUGCCGACGGUGAGGGCCAUCUAUGGUGAAGAGCCAAUUCACUUUGUACACGUUCGCUCCCCGGUGCACACGGCCAGAGUAACACAGCAGUGGCUGCAGGAGAAUCCACAGCUCUUAGAUAUGGGAUGGCCGGGGAGAGGGGCAGACCUAAAUCCUAUUGAAAACCUUUGGUCUCAGCUCACCGACGACCCCAUUCAGAUGGCGACUCCGAACGAGCUCUGGGAAAUCGUCAGAGAUUGUUGGGAGAAGCCAUGAUGGCAUACUAUGCGACAAUUUUGUGGCAAGUAUGCCCAAGCGACUGAAUGCGGUCGUCAACAGGCUCAGAAAGUGGACUAAGUACUGACCCUCUCCCCUUCAUCUGCGAUGUCUUAACAGACUAAGAAGAAGAAUGUCUUGUAAAUAUACUUUGUAAAAAAUAGUCUUGUAAAUAAAUAUUUUUUUUUUAUUUUCGGA
rnacentral:lncRNA from 1 species